rnacentral:pre_miRNA from 1 species
AAUAAAUGUAAUUUUACACUGUUCAUAUUUAACGUUUGAUCAUCCGUUUUAUUUGAAAAAAAUUUUAUGAUCAGUAUUUUAUUGCUAUUAAAUGAUAAAACAUGAAUAAUACUUUAUGUGUGAUUUUUUUUAAUUUUUUUAUAUUUUUUUAAAUAAGAUGAAUGGUUAAACGUUGGAAACGAAUAUCCACGG